GGAAAAAGAGAAUGGUUUAAUUUGGCAUAUAGUAGUAAUGUUGCAAGUUAGUUAAUAAAUUGAACUUUAAUCACACAUUAUUAUAUACAAAUAUAAUCGUGUUUAGACAAAAUUUAAUAUCCGUAUUUUAAACCAGUUUGAACUUAAACAAGUAUAUACGAUAUUGACAACUUGCACCAUCUUAAAUUAUAAACCAUGCCGUAUCUUCCAUGCCUUCCUCUCCUCUCUCUCUUAAAUAAAGUUUGAUAAAACGAUUAUAUAUUAUUCCAUGAAAACACAGUGAAUGCCCAUCUUCUUCUUCUUCUUCUUCCUUGUAUAUUUUUAGGCUACCAAAGGUUUAGAUAGAGGACACCAUGGGAGCUCAAGAAAGCUGUGGGAGAAGAUGGCAACGUCUCAGGACUUGUUUUUCGUCUUUAACAUGCCUCCAUUGAAGACCAACACUAAAGAGUCUCCAUUUCUCAUAUAUGGUAAGCUUUUAUCAUCAUCAUCAUCAUCAUCAUCAUCAUCAUCAUAAUCAUUUUAUCAUCCAGAAUUCUACCAGCUUUCCUAGAAGAAAUGGUUACGGGCAGAGACGAAUUCAGAAACUUUGUUAAGGGGCAGAGAUAAAAUUCUAAAAUUGCAGGGGUUUGAGGAUAAAAACAUAAAUAAUAUAGGGGAGGAAUAUGUUAGUGCAAAAAUUAAGCAAUUUUCCACACUUUCAUAAUGUUUCUAUUAUGAAUAUUACUUUGCAUAUGAAUUUUCGAAUUGAUUCUAUUUCUCUA